rnacentral:sRNA from 1 species
GUAACCCACGCGCCACUGCCUCCGACAUUAAACUUCCGUGCG